GUCCUUAGUACGAGAGGACCGGGAUGGACAUACCUCUGGUGUACCGAGUUGUCGUGCCAACGGCAUAGCUGGGUAGCUAUGUAUGGACGGGAUAAGUGCUGAAAGCAUCUAAGCAUGAAGCCCCCCUCAAGAUGAGAUUUCCCAACUUCGGUUAUAAGAUCCCUCGAAGAUGACGAGGUUAAUAGGUUCGAGGUGGAAGCGUGGUGACACGUGGAGCUGACGAAUACUAAUCGAUCGAAGACUUAAUCAA
rnacentral:rRNA from 1 species